AUUGAACGCUGGCGGCAUGCCUUACACAUGCAAGUCGAACGGUAACAGGUCUUCGGAUGCUGACGAGUGGCGAACGGGUGAGUAAUGCAUCGGAACGUGCCCAGUAGUGGGGGAUAGCCCGGCGAAAGCCGGAUUAAUACCGCAUACGACCUGAGGGUGAAAGGGGGGGAUCGCAAGGCCUCUCGCUAUUGGAGCGGCCGAUGUCAGAUUAGCUAGUUGGUGGGGUAAAGGCCUACCAAGGCAACGAUCUGUAGUUGGUCUGAGAGGACGACCAGCCACACUGGGACUGAGACACGGCCCAGACUCCUACGGGAGGCAGCAGUGGGGAAUUUUGGACAAUGGGCGCAAGCCUGAUCCAGCAAUGCCGCGUGCAGGAAGAAGGCCUUCGGGUUGUAAACUGCUUUUGUCAGAGAAGAAAUCUUCUGGGUUAAUACCUCGGGAGGAUGACGGUACCUGAAGAAUAAGCACCGGCUAACUACGUGCCAGCCGCCGCCGUAACAC
rnacentral:rRNA from 1 species